AUAUUAGUUUAUUUAACUCACUAUUCAAACUUUUUUUUUCCAGAUGACAGUUGGACACUUACAGCUUCAACUUGGUGCUGUGAACAAUGAAGAUGGUAAAGAUCUAUGUGAAUAUGUCUCUGGCCUGAAAGCGGAGGUUGUUCGUCUGGAAACUAUGAACAAGAAAUUGACUGCUGCUGUUACUAGUCAAGCUUUACAAAGUCCAAGCAGUCCAGCCAGUAGUCUUUCAAAGGAUAGUUCACUGACCAACUUGAACAGUAUAUUAGAACUGGCCAUGAGUCACAGCAAUAGUUUCUGCGAUGAAUCUCUGAGUGAAUUUCUGCAUCUUGGAGUAGAUCAAUGUCAGUUAAGCAACAAAGAUUUGUUAAAUAAAAACACCAAGGUAAAUGGGGAGGCAGCUAGCUAUCUGUAACUUACCAUUAAUCAUAUAAUCUGUGCUCAUUGUACUUGCAUGAUGAAAUGUACAUAUAAGCUGGACAAGUAACGUUUAUAAUUUUCUUUAAGUUAUGAUGUAUAAGAAAUGUCUCUCCAGUAAACAUGGAUCUUGUUUUAUGCACAGUAUUUCAAAGAGUUUUGUAGUUAUUACUUUUCUGUACAUUUUUGGUGAGCAGUAUACUUACUAUAUAUCCAUUUAAGAUUCACUCAGAAUCAUAAUUAACCCAAAUUGCUCUCCUCCUUGCUUAUAUUGAGUUAAUAAUACAGCUUUUCGGGUACUUCAGAAUCAACUAUAAUUGUGCUUGUAUACAUUUUGUUCCAGUUGUUAAAUAGCUUCGUUCAUCACGUGUGUAGGUUGAUUUAAGUGGCUUGAACGCAGAGGGAUAUUUUUGUUGUGAGGUGUCAUUUAUUUAAUAUUACAUUUUGUCUUCACCAAAUAACUUUAAAAGUGUGCCUCCACACAAGUAUUUAUUUCUUUGUAAUAAUGUGCCGAUAUUGAUGAUACCAAAAUUAUCCCCUUUGUAAAAUUGCCCCCCCUUUUUUUUUCUGAAGUCAUAAAUUUCGUUGUGAUGUACUUAAAAUAUUUCCUGUAUAGAGUUAGAAAUAUUUCAGUAAACUCCAAAUUUAAUGUAUGCUAAAAGACUAUUUUUUUUGUUUUAUUUUAUUGGACUGUGAUUAUUAUAAUAUAACUUAUAGCUAUGGGGAUCCAUUAUUUCACACAGCAUAUAAUUAACAUUUAUUGGCAUCAAUAAGGUUUUAUUGUGUAUUAAGUGCUGUUGGUUUUCCAUAUGAUUCAGUCAAUUUAAGCGGAAUGUUCCGCAUUUUCCGCAGCUACUUUAUUUUUACUGGAUGAUAAUGAAACGUAUAAUUUACUGCUAUUAAAUUCUUUACGUGUAAACUUAGACACCGUUGAUUAUUCUAGAUGAGGAUUUGACCUGUAAUUCAUACACAUAGUAGUUUUUAUCAAUCUUAUUCAGAUUUCUGUUAUUUUAUUGGAUAAUAAUUAAAGUUUAAUACAUCUUUUGCCAAGUUUAUCUGUUUUAUUAAGUGUUCAAACAAGACUAUUUCAUUGCUGCUGGUAUUCAACUAAUAUAGUUAUCUGUUAUUUUACUGCACCAUAAGUUAAUAUACUAAUUCAAAACUGUGUUGCCCCAUUCGUUGAGUCAGUCCAUUUUUUUUCUGUUGAAAUAAUCUUUAAGUUUUUUUAUACGUUUAUGUUAAGAUUGCUUCAUGGUCAUCCCCAAUUUAAGGUAUGCUUAAUACAGUAUAUUUCAUAUGCAUAGCUAUCCAAGUGGUUUAAUCGCCAUCUAGUUACGAGUGAAUAUUAAAUUCUCAUAAUAACGAGAAAAUGUUAUUGUAUUAUUGCUUAUGUAAUGUACAAAUACUAUAUACUUUAUUAUAUGCUGAAAAAUAUAUUUAAUCUCUUGAAAAACUUUCAGGAAUUAAUAGGUUUACGAAGGAUUAAUGUACAUAGUGAUUUGUAAAGAAGUUAAAAGAACAAACUGAAAUUUAGGAUGAAACUAAACAUUUUAGCAUAUAAUUAUAACACAAACUCUUAAUAAUAAAUUAGAACCAACUUGAAAUACACAUACAGACUUGGGUCAUAGAAAUUAUUUGACUCCAGAUAAACCAAACUAUAAAAAGUAACUUAUUCUGUAUAAUUAUAUCAAUUUUAACUCAAAAUUUUACAACAGAAAAUGUUAAUAUACAUUUUUGAAUCAGUUAGAUAAUACUUUUCGUGUCCAGUGACAUAAUUUAAGAAAUCGGGAGUCAUUUCUUCAUAUUCCGUGACAUUUUUUUAUGCCUUACAUUGUAAAUGAGUAAUAUUCACGUGAUACUGAUUAGAAUAAGAACAUAAAAGUAUUUCUAAAGACGUAUCGUACUACAUAACGAAUGUAUUAUACCUUGUAUUUGACUUAACUUUGUUGUAAAAAUCACACCUUAUCUUCGUGCUGAAUAACAUGAAUGUUAUUUAAAGAAGGUUAAUACUUCUUAAAAUGGUGUUAUUCUUAAGUAUCUUGCAUAGAAAGCUAGGUGUUGUUUAUAGUGAUUUAAUAAGGGUAGUCAUUACAUUCGUUGGAAGUUAUUUUUAAUGUGUUUAACAUGUACUUUUUUACUCCAGAUUUAAUUUUUUAUAACUCUAAGCUUGAUUACUUUAAAGAAGAAUUAAACAAUAUUGUUACAGAGGUUGUUACUGUAGCACCACCGAGGUUCUUGUAGCCCAGUUCAUAAAUUUCACGAGUACUUUGUUAGCUGUCUGUGUACAGCAAUGGUCAAAAUACAAAUUUUAUUAUACAUGUUUAAUAACAAGGAAGAAUCAUUCUUUAGCUACAGUCAAAUCAAAUUUAAUAUACUUUCAACCUCAUAAGAUUUAUUUAAAAUGCUUGAAAUGUAUAAUAGCAACUGAUACAAUAACAUAUCUUCCCCCAGUGUGUUUAUAAAAUACUAAAAUAAAAAUUAACUGUAAAACUAAAACACAAUUGUAACACUGUGACGCUUAACAUACAAUCAUUUGGUGAUUUUGUACUUGAAUCAGGUAAAUAGUUCUUUGUGUCAUGUUGUAACUAUGACGAAGAUCACCUUGACUUGCAGAAUCUGUAUUAAUUUAGAUCUUUUGAAUAUUUGUUGAAACUUAAAAAUUUCAUGGAUUGAAAUUUGUGAGGCUGUUUAAUAACCUUAACAGAUGUGUUAUUAGUGGCUGAAAAUUCACCAGAAUGUGUGUUUAGUUAUCUGUUCUGAACACAGAAAGAAUACAGUAUUAUAUCAAAAAAACUAAAUAUAUAUAUAUAUACAUAAGUAAAUUGUUUUAUAUUUAUUAUCAUAUCACUUUCUUUAAUUCUUAUGCCAGUCUUCCAGAUAAAGUUUUGACACACUGUGUUCAAUAAUCUUUUAAAUAUAUUUAAGGUAAUUUUGGGUUCAAAAAAUUUUUCCAAGUUUAAUAUACCAGGUGUUGUAAUGAUUAUCUUAAUAUUUAUUAAUUAGAACUUUUUUUUCUACACGGAAAUAGUUUGUAUUAUAUUACUAAUCUAAGCCUAAAUCUAGAACAGAAGGAAAGCUGUGUUUAAUUCUAAAACUAAUUGUGGCAAAAAAAAAUUGUUUUUAUAGUUUUUCAAAGGUUUUAUAAUCUCGGUAUGAAUUUCUUAAAAUUUUUUAAUGAAAUGUUCUAUUUGUUUAGAAGGAAAGUUUACAUUUUGAUCAAGUCAGUAAGUUGAAUUAUUCAGUAAUUCUUAUUAAAAGUGUUAUUAUAUUUACACAGUGUAUAAACUUGGUGAAAUAUUUUAUGGCAAAACUUAUCAAAUUUUAUAAAAAACAUAAAAAUGAUUUAGUUCUUCACAUUUAAGAUUUUGUCUCUUCUAACAAACUUUCAAAAGAUAAAAAUAUAAGAUAGUAGUACUUAUUAUUAGAUUCUUAUGCCUUACCCCCUGUUUCGGGGAACUUGUAUUUUUUACCUCAUUUUCGUAGGGCCUGAUUUGUUUCAUACAGAAACUUGUUAUAAUUCUGUGUUUCAGUUUCUUACAACUCCUUGUUUAUAAGCCAAAUAAGAUACUCAUAUUUCUUAUUUUGUAAAUCAAUUGUUAAAAGUCAGCUCCCAUACAGAUUGCUGUUGAAUUUAAGAAGUUAAUGUAGAAUUUGUGAGUUGCUUUUAUUUAUUGCUGAAACAAUAUGAAUAUGUAAAUAUACACUAACAGUAGCUUUCAUCAGACUAUCGUGUUUAGUUCUAGAAACCUUUAUCCAAUUAAUUUUGACUUAAUCAGUUGAAAACAUUAUUCGAAAGAUGAUGAUAUUAAAUGUUUUAUUGUAAAUUUGUCUUUAUUUAAUAAAAUAUUCAAAAACUUGAA